rnacentral:lncRNA from 1 species
AUAACCAAUGACCAUCUUCAAAUACGGUGUAAUAUUGAUGUAUCUCCCCCCCCCCCCAUGUAAGAUUUUUAUUAUAUUAAGCAGUGUUUUCUAAAAAUAAAACUAAAUGUUUGCUUUACUCCCCAAAGACAGUGGUUCUGUUCACGCUGGUGGGCUAUGCCUUUAUGUCUGUCACAGAUACAUGGUUUGGAACAAAAGGGAAGAUGGAAGAAGAAGAAUGGCUGCUAUCCAUUUCUAAAGUCAGGUUCAUGGAGGCAAGGCAUAGUAAGUAUAAAGCAAUAAUAAAGAUUACUCUGCUUGUUUUGCCAAACAGAUAAAUAGAUUCCAGGCUUCAAUUUAUAAAACAGACAUUAGACCAAACAGCACGCAUCCCUCCCUGUCUCCAUAAUUGUGUACCACACUGUCAUAGUUAGUGAUUGGACUAGAUUAAUAUUGGCAGAACUGGUGUUCUGACAAUUGCUGGAGACUGCAGCAGAAGAGUGGAAAGCACUGCUGAGCAGUUAAUAAGUGGCCAUUCUUCAGUCAUGCAGCACUUGGAAUAGCUUUUCAAAGGGAGAAAAGAAAAUUCUAUUGGGUUUCAACACCUGGUUGAGCAGCUCAAUAGAGACAAAAUUGAACGUUAUAGCACAAUCAUUAUUUAUUUCAGGACUACAUCUUCAUUGCAUGGGCAGUCUUAAAAUGAAAGUUAUUUCAAUGUGAAUCAAGUUCACGCCAGCAUCUCAGGCGGCCUCUAUGGGAAAGGAGCUCUUUACACAUAUUUUCAGGUGGCAAUCAUAUCCAGCUGAACACAUUGGGGGGUCUUUGUUUUCGUUUCAAUGUGUUUAAAACAUGCUGGAUUAAUAGGAACAAUACCAAGGUGACUUAAAAAACAACAACACCCUACUUGUGAGAUGCAUUGUUUUCCAAUUUUAGCAACAGCAAAAAUGACCUCUGAUUAAAAUAAUGGUGCUGUUAGUGUGUUAGAUUCAGGACAGAUAAAAGGAAGCAUUUUUUUCACACAGUGCAUAGUUAAACUAUGUACCUGCAGGAGACAGUGAUGGCAACCAACUUCAUUGGCUUUGAAAGAGGAUUAGACAGAAUCAUGGGGGAAUAUGUUUGUCAAUGGCUAGUAUCCAUGAUGGCUAUGCUCUGCCUUCAGGGUCAGAGGCAGUAAUACUUCUGAUUAUCAGUUGCUUGAAACCUCAGGAGGGGAGAGUUCUCUUGUGCUGGGGUCCUGCUUGCAGGUUUCCCAUAAGCACCUGGCUGGGCACUGUGAGAACAGGAUGCUGGACUAGAUGGGGCAUUGGCCUGAUCCAGCAGGUGGUUCUGAUGUUCAUAUGCCAACUAGACAUCUGAAGUAUUUUUCUUGACCUCUCAAAAAGCGCAAUAGUGUUCUAGCUCUGGGCCCUUGAGACAGAGCAGGGUAGUCACCAAAUAAAUAGCAAAACCCUUUGGAAAUUGUCCUUUUGGUGAAUUGAUGAAAUUUAAAUGGAGGGUAAUUCCAACGUCUUGUUCUCAUUAACUCUGUGAAAAAAUACAUUUCUCUCUCUCAAGCAAAGUCAACAUCAUUAUUCUUUUGACUCUGGUUCAUUACAAGUAGUCUUUGCUUUUAUGCAGUGAAACUGUGUUUAUCCCCUAUAAUUUAGCUAAUCCUUUCCUCUCCCUGCAGUAACAGGAUAGACAUGCAAAUCAGCUCCUAUCAAUUUCAUGUGUGAAGUGGAAAGUCAG